GGCCUGCCAAAGUAAGCCCAAGAAGGGCUGAAAUCCGUGCCUCUAUUAUGGAAGGAGCCGAUAACCGUCCCGUACUUUGAAAAAGGAGGGUAAAUAUGUACGACGAUGCAAGGGGCGGACGCUGCUUGCAUGGGCGGGCCAGCGCAACAGCUCGCUUUCAUGCCCCGAUGCUAAGCAGGUAGAACGGCGCUCGAUAAUAAGGCCUGUACGCCGUACCGAAU
rnacentral:sRNA from 1 species